rnacentral:lncRNA from 1 species
AUCAACGAAGAUAUUCAGUAAUAAGAGCAAAGAUUUGUUGUAAAUAAUUUAUUUUAAUAUUUUGUGUAAACAAUGUAAUUUCAAAAAAAAAAUAUUCACCUCGAUUUUCAUCAUCACCGAGGUGAUAGUUAAAAUUAUUCGUUUUUGACCCAUGUGCGACAACGAACCAAAUUAGCAUUGUUUCUGGGGACUCUCUGUUGAUAUUAGUCAAUUUUAGAAUCCUAGUUUAG